rnacentral:rRNA from 1 species
UACGUAGGGGCAAGCGUUGUCCGGAAUCAUUGGGCGUAAAGCGCGUGUAGGCGGCUUGGUAAGUCUGCUCUGAAAGCCCGGGGCUCAACCCGGGAGGCGGGUGGAUACUGUCAAGCUCGAGUCCGGAAGAGGAGUGUGGAAUUCCUGGUGUAGCGGUGAAAUGCGCAGAUAUCAGGAAGAACACCAAUGGCGAAAGCAGCUCUCUGGGACGGUACUGACGCUGAGACGCGAAAGCGUGGGGAGCGAACGGG